AGGCCAAGCCCAAGCGCGGUCGCCGCUCCUGGCCGCGCAAGCGCACCGCCACCCACACCUGCAGCUACGCGGGCUGCGGCAAGACGUACACCAAGAGCUCGCACCUCAAGGCGCACCUGCGCACGCACACAGGUGAGAAGCCCUACCACUGCAACUGGGAAGGCUGUGGCUGGAAGUUCGCGCGCUCAGACGAGCUCACGCGCCACUACCGCAAGCACACGGGCCACCGGCCCUUCCAGUGCCACCUGUGUGACCGCGCCUUCUCGCGCUCCGACCACCUGGCGCUGCACAUGAAGCGGCACAUGUAGCCGGGACACCCCCGCCUCUCCGCGCGCGGCCGUGGCGGGUCCCACGUGCCGGGCACGGCCCUCCCAAACUGUGACUGUAUUUAUUGGACCCUGAGGACUGGGCUGGACUGUGUGGCCACGGAGGGGCUUCUGUCGCCGCCCCAUGACAAUGACAACGCCACCACCCCAGCCCCUAUCCGUGACUAAAGACCCAGUGGGAGAGGACACGAUCCUCUUCUCUUCGACGAGUUCUGUUUUCAAAAAUGGUGCAAUAAUUAAGUGUCCCCUUCCCUCCCACGGGUCUACACUAGAGGAUCGAGGCUUGAUGCUUCGUGAGAGAGAACAGCCUUCCUUUGUACUGUCUGCGGUAUUUUUUAUAAUAUUGUACAUAGUGACUGUGACAGAUAUUGUAUUACUGUACAUAAGGGAGACAGGCGGGCUUUUGGGCUGCCUCAUUUUUAUAAGGCGCUUUUUUUAAUUAAAAAGAAAAGUUUUGCAUCUUUUGAAAAAAAAAAA